AGCGAACGCUGGCGGCAGGCUUAACACAUGCAAGUCGAGCGGGCACUUUCGGGUGUCAGCGGCGGACGGGUGCGUAACGCGUGGUAACGUGCCCUCUGGUUCGGAAUAACUCAGGGAAACUUGAGCUAAUACCGGAUACGCCCUUUUGGGGAAAGGCUUGCUGCCGGAGGAUCGGCCCGCGUCUGAUUAGCUAGUUGGUGAGGUAACGGCUCACCAAGGCGACGAUCAGUAGCUGGUCUGAGAGGAUGAUCAGCCACACUGGGACUGAGACACGGCCCAGACUCCUACGGGAGGCAGCAGUGGGGAAUAUUGGACAAUGGGCGCAAGCCUGAUCCAGCCAUGCCGCGUGAGUGAUGAAGGCCUUAGGGUUGUAAAGCUCUUUUAUCCGGGACGAUAAUGACGGUACCGGAGGAAUAAGCCCCGGCUAACUUCGUG
rnacentral:rRNA from 1 species